CCGAGCUUACAAUGGAUAAGUAGAGUCAUCUUUUAAUUAUUUUAAUUAAUUAAAUUCUAAAAGGGACACCUCUGUCGCAAUUUGGUACAAUAAUACUUAAGACAACUUAUUAUUAUCAAAAACGGCACCAAGCCAGAAGGGAAUAUAAAAUAUUAUGUUCUAAUUUUUCCUAACGAAAAGCUUUCAAGCUUUCAUAAUUAUUUGCUUCUGUCAGGAAGUCGCAAGGGAAGGAUUAUUCAUCCGCUGUGUCCAAACAAAAUGGCUCAUUGACUCGCUGAUUAAUUGCAAAGCAAGCCGCAGUGACAUUCUGAUGCAGAAAAUAUUCUGGGGCUUUUUUGAUGGUUUGGGUCAUUAGAAUAAGAAUAUCCUUUUUUAAUGUAAGGGAAAGCAAAUACGCAAAUGUUACCCAAUACACUUAUUCACCUUUUAGAAAAAUCAGCACCAUACCGAACCUAGUGCGAUCGGAACGCAACCCCGACCCUCCAAAUCCUAAGCUUCAUCAUUCUGCGUCAGCAUGUAUUUGUCAUUCCAAGUGGCUACAAGUGUGCCAUGUUUCACAUAAGUAAGGAUUUGCAAAAAGGUGGUAAUAAGGUAUGCAAGCCCUCUUCCCUUUGUCGGCCAGUCCGACGUGAGGGGAAUGGUCGUGCGAGAGAUUUGGCAAGUCUAUGCGAAGAAUUCUCCAGUAAUGUACACGUCGUAAAAGCGUUUAUUUAUUCAUACAUUUUCGCUUUUAUUGUUGGGUUAGAUUGCUGCGUUGUGGAAUAGCGGGUGAAGUAACUAGGUCUACCUAUUAAGUAUUUUUAUUUUAUUCUUGAAUGAUUCAAAGAUGACUAGAAUCUGGAGAAAUGUUGUAAUUCUCUUAUACUUUUCACAUACAAAUACUAAAGUCUACGUUACGAAAUAUUUAGUCUUAGAAUAUUUUUAAUUGAGCGAAAACCCCUUUCUACUUUGCAGGAAGAAUCGGGAUUAUGAGUCACUUUGUUUACAAACGAGGCUGACCCAAAGGGUAGGCACAAUAAAACGACAAUACGACGGGAGAUAAGGUGGCAAGUGAAAAUUUCACAACGAGAUUAAUUUAAUUCCUCUGUUCCGCCGCGAUGUGACUAGACGGGUACAGGGAUGAGUUGGAGGACAUCUCGUGAGUUCUUGGACUUAUGGAAAAGCACCUUAGAUAGCCUGGAAUAGCGCUGGAAUUUAGGUUUUUAAUUUUUUUUUAGAUAGAUAGAUAGAUUAUUGUAGAAACAACAACACAAUGCAAAACCAGACUGAAAACACAAAAUAAAACACAGUAUUCACAAAGCACAAUUGAAGAGCAAGUGUACUGUACUAAUUUUUAUUCUAAAAACAUAUAGAUAAAAAUCUCUACAACUUUUGCUGAUUUAAAAAGUCAUUUUUAAAUCAGCAAAUGAACAUUAUAUUUUAUAUUAUCACUGUUAAGAUGAACAAUAAAAAAUCCAUAAUAUAAACUUUUAUUUUUAUGGGUACGAGUCUCACUAGAAUUCAAUAUCUCCAUUAUCUUUAUAUAAGUAGCUCUUUGAAAUACUAACGU